CUUUUAGCAGAGCCAUCUUCAGUCCGCCAUUUCUUCUCUUGAAGUUGAAGAGCUCCACUGUUAGGUAGUUUGUGGUGUUGUUCCCAACAGUUCAAAAAUGUAAGCUGCCUGUGGUAGCAUGUCUUAAUUGAAAAACAGUCUAUAAGUGUGUGAAAGGAUUAAACAAGUGCUUACGAGCAAGGAAAUAACAUGUGGGAAAAGGAUUAAGCUUUUCAUUAAUGGUAAUAGUAAAACCCUUGGGAAUAUGGCAUCUGCCAGGUAUCAUCUGCGGCUGAUUAACAGUUGGAAGGAAAGAAA